rnacentral:rRNA from 1 species
AGAUUGAACGCUGGCGGCAUGCCUUACACAUGCAAGUCGAACGGCAGCACGGGAGCAAUCCUGGUGGCGAGUGGCGAACGGGUGAGUAAUAUAUCGGAACGUGCCCAGUCGUGGGGGAUAACGCAGCGAAAGCUGUGCUAAUACCGCAUACGAUCUAUGGAUGAAAGCGGGGGAUCGCAAGACCUCGCGCGAUUGGAGCGGCCGAUAUCAGAUUAGCUAGUUGGUGGGGUAAAAGCCUACCAAGGCGACGAUCUGUAGCUGGUCUGAGAGGACGACCAGCCACACUGGAACUGAGACACGGUCCAGACUCCUACGGGAGCAGCAGUGGGGAAUUUUGGACAAUGGGCGCAAGCCUGAUCCAGCAAUGCCGCGUGCAGGAUGAAGGCCGUUCGGUUAGUAAACUGUCUUUUGUACGGUAACGAAACGGUUCUCUUACUAAGUACGAGGGACUAAGUGGACGGUAACCGUAAAGAAUAAGCACCGACUAACUACGU